GCGUGAAGCCGCUGCCCUCACCCUUCGCCUCCCUGGGGCUCGGGUCUCUGGCCAAGGGAACGCCCGCCGCGGGCCGGGGAGCCGAGCGGGGCAGGCGCAGGCAGGAGGGAUGGAGCAGCGAGCACCCAGCAGCUGGCGGGAGUCCGGCCCGCCGGAACUGCAGAAUUUUUGCUGAGACAAAUUACAACUGAUACCACCUACUCAGCUGAGCCAAUAGAGCAGUAGCAACAUAUAAUGCUUUCCUUGGUGAGAGAUCUGGGUUCAUGUGUACAUCAUAACUGAGGAAACAGGAUCGGACUUUAACAACAGCAAUGCCAGCCCAUCUCAAGUGCUUCUUCUCUUUUCCCCAAAAAAGAUAGUUAUUACCAUCUAAGACGGUCGAACACAGGGGAUUUUUCCUUCUAAAGACUCUCUCCAGCUAAGUGGAAAAGGAACAGGGGAUGUUGUUGUUAAAAUUAAAGCCUUACUUAAUACUUUA